rnacentral:rRNA from 1 species
CCUACGGGUGGCUGCAGUGGGGAAUAUUGGGCAAUGGACGCAAGCCUGACCCAGCAACGCCGCGUGAAUGAAGAAGGCCUUCGGGUUGUAAACUUCUUUUAUUCGGGACGAAACAAAUGACGGUACCUAAUGAAUAAGCCCCGGCUAACUCCGUGCCAGCAGCCGCGGUAAUACGUAGGUGGCAAGCGUUAUCCGGAUUUACUGGGUGUAAAGGGCGUGUAGGCGGGGCAGCAAGUCAGAGGUGAAAUCCCAGGGCUCAACCCAGGGACUGCAUUUUAAACUGUUCUUCUUGAGUGCUGGAGAGGAAGGUGGAAUUCCGAGUGUAGCGGUGAAAUGCGUAGAUAUUAGGAGGAACACCAGUGGCGAAGGCGACCUGCUGGACAGUAACUGACGCUGAGGCGCGAAAGCGUGGGGAGCAAACAGGAUUAGAUACCCCGGUAGUC